GAAUAUUGGACAAUGGGCGCCAGCCUGAUCCAGCCAUGCCGCGUGAGUGAUGAAGGCCUUAGGGUUGUAAAGCUCUUUCAGUGGGGAAGAUACUAACGGUACCCACCGGAGAAGCCCCGGCUAUCUUCGUGACAGCAGCCUCGGUAAUACGAAGGCGGCUAGCGUUGUUCGGAUUUACUGGGCGUAAAGCGCACGUAGGCGGUUUGUUAAGUCAGAGGUGAAAUCCCGGAGCUCAACUCCGGAACUGCCUUGGAUACGGGGAAGCUAGAGUCCGGAAGAGGUGAGUGGAACUCCUAGGGUGGAGGUGGAAUUCGUAGAUAUUAGGAAGAACACCAGUGGCGAAGGCGGCUCACUGGUCCGGUACUGACGCUGAGGUGCGAAAGCGUGGGGAGCAAACA
rnacentral:rRNA from 1 species